CCAGGAGAGAGAUAUCCGGGCAGACCUUGGGAGAGAAGGAGCCCUUUCCUCUGGCUUCUCAUUCCAAUUCCUUCAAGGGAGGAAUAUCCUACCAAAAGUGGGCAGGCGGCUUCCAGGAGCCGGCUGUGGAAGGUCCAGACUCCAGCCUGGAGCUGGAUAGGGGGUGGUCUAAAAUCAUGUGGACCACCUGGAAGGCACAGAGUCUUUGACAAGCAGUGCAGCAACAAGACAGAAACUACCAUUCGCGGGACAAAUUCAGGUCAGUCUUUUGGGAGGUCUUG